rnacentral:rRNA from 1 species
CCUACGGGAGGCAGCAGUCGAGAAUCAUUCACAAUGGGGGAAACCCUGAUGGUGCGACGCCGCGUGGGGGAAUGAAGGUCUUCGGAUUGUAAACCCCUGUCAUGUGGGAGCAAAUUAAAAAGAUAGUACCACAAGAGGAAGAGACGGCUAACUCUGUGCCAGCAGCCGCGGUAAUACAGAGGUCUCAAGCGUUGUUCGGAAUCACUGGGCGUAAGGCGUGCGUAGGCUGUUUCGUAAGUCGUGUGUGAAAGGCGCGGGCUCAACCCGCGGACGGCACAUGAUACUGCGAGACUAGAGUAAUGUAGGGGGAACCGGAAUUCUCGGUGUAGCAGUGAAAUGCGUAGAUAUCGAGAGGAACACUCGUGGCGAAGGCGGGUUCCUGGACAUUAACUGACGCUGAGGCACGAAGGCCAGGGGAGCGAAAGGGAUUAGAUACCCGAGUAGUC